ACAGAGGGUGCGAGCGUUAAUCGGAUUUACUGGGCGUAAAGGGCGCGUAGGUGGUAAAGCAAGUAAGAUGUGAAAGCCCUGGGCUUAACCUGGGAAGUGCAUCUUAAACUGCUUAACUAGAGUAUGGUAGAGGGUAGUGGAAUUUCCGGUGUAGCGGUGAAAUGCGUAGAGAUCGGAAGGAACGCCAGUGGUGAAGACGACUACCUGGACCAAUACUGACACUGAGGCGCGAAAGCGUGGGGAUCAAACAGG
rnacentral:rRNA from 1 species